GGGGAAUCUUGCGCAAUGCGCGAAAGCGUGACGCAGCAACGCCGCGUGGGGGAAGACGGCCUUCGGGUUGUAAACCCCUUUCAGGAGGGACGAAGGUUCGCCGGUGAAUAGCCGUGCGGAUUGACGGUACCUCCACAAGAAGCUCCGGCUAACUACGUGCCAGCAGCCGCGGUAAUACGUAGGGAGCAAGCGUUGUCCGGAAUCAUUGGGCGUAAAGCGCGCGUAGGUGGCCACAUAAGUCCGUUGUGAAAGUCAAAGGCUCAACCUUUGAAAGCCGAUGGAUACUGUGUGGCUAGAGUACGGAAGAGGCGAGUGGAAUUCCUGGUGUAGCGGUGGAAUGCGCAGAUAUCAGGAGGAACACCAAUAGCGAAGGCAGCUCGCUGGGACGUUACUGACACUGAGGCGCGAAAGCGUGGGGAGCGAAC
rnacentral:rRNA from 1 species